rnacentral:rRNA from 1 species
GGUCAAGUGAAGAAGCGCAUACGGUGGAUGCCUUGGCAGUCAGAGGCGAUGAAAGACGUGGUAGCCUGCGAAAAGCUUCGGGGAGUCGGCAAACAGACUUUGAUCCGGAGAUCUCUGAAUGGGGGAACCCACCUAGGAUAACCUAGGUAUCUUGUACUGAAUCCAUAGGUGCAAGAGGCGAACCAGGGGAACUGAAACAUCUAAGUACCCUGAGGAAAAGAAAUCAACCGAGAUUCCCUUAGUAGUGGCGAGCGAACGGGGAUUAGCCCUUAAGCUUCAUUGAUUUUAGCGGAACGCUCUGGAAAGUGCGGCCAUAGUGGGUGAUAGCCCCGUACGCGAAAGGAUCUUUGAAGUGACAUCGAGUAGGACGGAGCACGAGAAACUUUGUCUGAACAUGGGGGGACCAUCCUCCAAGGCUAAAUACUACUGACUGACCGAUAGUGAACCAGUACCGUGAGGGAAAGGCGAAAAGAACCCCGGAGAGGGGAGUGAAAUAGAACCUGAAACCGUAUGCGUACAAGCAGUGGGAGCCUACUUGUUAGGUGACUGCGUACCUUUUGUAUAAUGGGUCAGCGACUUAUAUUCAGUGGCAAGCUUAACCGUAUAGGGUAGGCGUAGCGAAAGCGAGUCUUAAUAGGGCGUUUAGUCGCUGGGUAUAGACCCGAAACCGGGCGAUCUAUCCAUGAGCAGGUUGAAGGUUAGGUAACACUGACUGGAGGACCGAACCCACUCCCGUUGAAAAGGUAGGGGAUGACUUGUGGAUCGGAGUGAAAGGCUAAUCAAGCUCGGAGAUAGCUGGUUCUCCUCGAAAGCUAUUUAGGUAGCGCCUCAUGUAUCACUCUGGGGGGUAGAGCACUGUUUCGGCUAGGGGGUCAUCCCGACUUACCAAACCGAUGCAAACUCCGAAUACCCAGAAGUGCCGAGCAUGGGAGACACACGGCGGGUGCUAACGUCCGUCGUGAAAAGGGAAACAACCCAGACCGCCAGCUAAGGUCCCAAAGUUGUGGUUAAGUGGUAAACGAUGUGGGAAGGCUUAGACAGCUAGGAGGUUGGCUUAGAAGCAGCCAUCCUUUAAAGAAAGCGUAAUAGCUCACUAGUCGAGUCGGCCUGCGCGGAAGAUGUAACGGGGCUCAAACCACACACCGAAGCUGCGGGUGUCACGCAAGUGACGCGGUAGAGGAGCGUUCUGUAAGCCUGUGAAGGUGAGUUGAGAAGCUUGCUGGAGGUAUCAGAAGUGCGAAUGCUGACAUGAGUAACGACAAUGGGUGUGAAAAACACCCACGCCGAAAGACCAAGGGUUCCUGCGCAACGUUAAUCGACGCAGGGUUAGUCGGUUCCUAAGGCGAGGCUGAAAAGCGUAGUCGAUGGGAAACAGGUUAAUAUUCCUGUACUUCUGGUUACUGCGAUGGAGGGACGGAGAAGGCUAGGCCAGCUUGGCGUUGGUUGUCCAAGUUUAAGGUGGUAGGCUGAAAUCUUAGGUAAAUCCGGGGUUUCAAGGCCGAGAGCUGAUGACGAGUCGUCUUUUAGAUGACGAAGUGGUUGAUGCCAUGCUUCCAAGAAAAGCUUCUAAGCUUCAGGUAACCAGGAACCGUACCCCAAACCGACACAGGUGGUCGGGUAGAGAAUACCAAGGCGCUUGAGAGAACUCGGGUGAAGGAACUAGGCAAAAUGGCACCGUAACUUCGGGAGAAGGUGCGCCGGCUAGGGUGAAGGAUUUACUCCGUAAGCUCUGGCUGGUCGAAGAUACCAGGCCGCUGCGACUGUUUAUUAAAAACACAGCACUCUGCAAACACGAAAGUGGACGUAUAGGGUGUGACGCCUGCCCGGUGCCGGAAGGUUAAUUGAUGGGGUUAGCGCAAGCGAAGCUCUUGAUCGAAGCCCCGGUAAACGGCGGCCGUAACUAUAACGGUCCUAAGGUAGCGAAAUUCCUUGUCGGGUAAGUUCCGACCUGCACGAAUGGCGUAACGAUGGCGGCGCUGUCUCCACCCGAGACUCAGUGAAAUUGAAAUCGCUGUGAAGAUGCAGUGUAUCCGCGGCUAGACGGAAAGACCCCGUGAACCUUUACUGUAGCUUUGCACUGGACUUUGAGCCUGCUUGUGUAGGAU